GACGAACGCUGGCGGCGUGCUUAACACAUGCAAGUCGAACGGUGAAGCGCCUUCCUUUUUGGUUGGUGUGGAUGAGUGGCGAACGGGUGAGUAACACGUGAGUAACCUUCCCCCUUCUUCUGGAUAACCGCAUGAAAGUGUGGCUAAUACGGGAUAUUCUGGGUCUGUCGCAUGAUGGGUCUGGGAAAGAUAUUGGUUCGGUGGGGGAUGGGCUCGCGGCCUAUCAGCUGGUUGGGGGGGUGAUGGCCUAACAAGGCUGUGACGGGUAGCCGGCCUGAGAGGGGGACCGGCCAAAUGGGGACUGAUAUACGGACCAGAGUACUGCGGGAGGCAGAAGUGGGGAAUAUUGCACAAUGGGCGGAAGCCUGAUGCAGCAACGCCGCGUGCGGGAUGACGGCCUUCGGGUUGUAAACCGCUGUCGCCUGUGACGAAGCGUGAGUGACGGUAAUGGGUAAAGAAGCACCGGCUAACUACGUG
rnacentral:rRNA from 1 species